rnacentral:rRNA from 1 species
GGGACACGUGGUAUCCUGUCUGAAUAUGGGGGGACCAUCCUCCAAGGCUAAAUACUCCUGACUGACCGAUAGUGAACCAGUACCGUGAGGGAAAGGCGAAAAGAACCCCGGCGAGGGGAGUGAAAAAGAACCUGAAACCGUGUACGUACAAGCAGUGGGAGCACGCUUAGGCGUGUGACUGCGUACCUUUUGUAUAAUGGGUCAGCGACUUAUAUUCUGUAGCAAGGUUAACCGAAUAGGGGAGCCGAAGGGAAACCGAGUCUUAACUGGGCGUUAAGUUGCAGGGUAUAGACCCGAAACCCGGUGAUCUAGCCAUGGGCAGGUUGAAGGUUGGGUAACACUAACUGGAGGACCGAACCGACUAAUGUUGAAAAAUUAGCGGAUGACUUGUGGCUGGGGGUGAAAGGCCAAUCAAACCGGGAGAUAGCUGGUUCUCCCCGAAAGCUAUUUAGGUAGCGCCUCGUGAAUUCAUCUCCGGGGGUAGAGCACUGUUUCGGCAAGGGGGUCAUCCCGACUUACCAACCCGAUGCAAACUGCGAAUACCGGAGAAUGUUAUCACGGGAGACACACGGCGGGUGCUAACGUCCGUCGUGAAGAGGGAAACAACCCAGACCGCCAGCUAAGGUCCCAAAGUCAUGGUUAAGUGGGAAACGAUGUGGGAAGGCCCAGACAGCCAGGAUGUUGGCUUAGAAGCAGCCAUCAUUUAAAGAAAGCGUAAUAGCUCACUGGUCGAGUCGGCCUGCGCGGAAGAUGUAACGGGGCUAAACCAUGCACCGAAGCUGCGGCAGCGACACUAUGUGUUGUUGGGUAGGGGAGCGUUCUGUAAGCCUGUGAAGGUGUACUGUGAGGUAUGCUGGAGGUAUCAGAAGUGCGAAUGCUGACAUAAGUAACGAUAAAGCGGGUGAAAAGCCCGCUCGCCGGAAGACCAAGGGUUCCUGUCCAACGUUAAUCGGGGCAGGGUGAGUCGACCCCUAAGGCGAGGCCGAAAGGCGUAGUCGAUGGGAAACAGGUUAAUAUUCCUGUACUUGGUGUUACUGCGAAGGGGGGACGGAGAAGGCUAUGUUGGCCGGGCGACGGUUGUCCCGGUUUAAGCGUGUAGGCUGGUUUUCCAGGCAAAUCCGGAAAAUCAAGGCUGAGGCGUGAUGACGAGGCACUACGGUGCUGAAGCAACAAAUGCCCUGCUUCCAGGAAAAGCCUCUAAGCAUCAGGUAACAUCAAAUCGUACCCCAAACCGACACAGGUGGUCAGGUAGAGAAUACCAAGGCGCUUGAGAGAACUCGGGUGAAGGAACUAGGCAAAAUGGUGCCGUAACUUCGGGAGAAGGCACGCUGAUAUGUAGGUGAAGUCCCUCGCGGAUGGAGCUGAAAUCAGUCGAAGAUACCAGCUGGCUGCAACUGUUUAUUAAAAACACAGCACUGUGCAAACACGAAAGUGGACGUAUACGGUGUGACGCCUGCCCGGUGCCGGAAGGUUAAUUGAUGGGGUCAGCGCAAGCGAAGCUCUUGAUCGAAGCCCCGGUAAACGGCGGCCGUAACUAUAACGGUCCUAAGGUAGCGAAAUUCCUUGUCGGGUAAGUUCCGACCUGCACGAAUGGCGUAAUGAUGGCCAGGCUGUCUCCACCCGAGACUCAGUGAAAUUGAACUCGCUGUGAAGAUGCAGUGUACCCGCGGCAAGACGGAAAGACCCCGUGAACCUUUACUAUAGCUUGACACUGAACAUUGAGCCUUGAUGUGUAGGAUAGGUGGGAGGCUUUGAAGUGUGGACGCCAGUCUGCAUGGAGCCGACCUUGAAAUACCACCCUUUAAUGUUU